ensembl:miRNA
AUCUGUGGUGCCAGAACAGAGCUGGGAACUUGAGGCAGCUGUUGAGUGCUAAGGAGGCUCCAGCUGAUCCCUGUUCCUCGCCUCAUUCUGCAGCAAGGUUUCAGUUGGUG